rnacentral:misc_RNA from 1 species
CAACCCUUAAGCUUAGCUUAGUAUUGGGAAUCUGCUUAACCGCAGCUCCUUAAAUCUAGUUGGCAGAGCACGUCUGUACUCUGAGCGUAGUAAUUCAUUAUCUCGCUUUCUGAAGACAGUCGUACGAUCGCCAUAAACCUAUUUAUUUUUUAAU